UUUUACGGAGAGUUUGAUCCUGGCUCAGGAUGAACGCUGGCGGCGUGCUUAACACAUGCAAGUCGAACGGUGAAGCCAAGCUUGCUUGGUGGAUCAGUGGCGAACGGGUGAGUAACACGUGAGCAACCUGCCCUGGACUCUGGGAUAAGCGCUGGAAACGGCGUCUAAUACUGGAUAUGAGCUCUCAUCGCAUGGUGGGGGUUGGAAAGAUUUUUCGGUCUGGGAUGGGCUCGCGGCCUAUCAGCUUGUUGGUGAGGUAAUGGCUCACCAAGGCGUCGACGGGUAGCCGGCCUGAGAGGGUGACCGGCCACACUGGGACUGAGACACGGCCCAGACUCCUACGGGAGGCAGCAGUGGGGAAUAUUGCACAAUGGGCGGAAGCCUGAUGCAGCAACGCCGCGUGAGGGAUGACGGCCUUCGGGUUGUAAACCUCUUUUAGCAGGGAAGAAGCGAGAGUGACGGUACCUGCAGAAAAAGCGCCGGCUAACUACGUGCCAGCAGCCGCGGUAAUACGUAGGGCGCAAGCGUUAUCCGGAAUUAUUGGGCGUAAAGAGCUCGUAGGCGGUUUGUCGCGUCUGCUGUGAAAUCCCGAGGCUCAACCUCGGGCCUGCAGUGGGUACGGGCAGACUAGAGUGCGGUAGGGGAGAUUGGAAUUCCUGGUGUAGCGGUGGAAUGCGCAGAUAUCAGGAGGAACACCGAUGGCGAAGGCAGAUCUCUGGGCCGUAACUGACGCUGAGGAGCGAAAGGGUGGGGAGCAAACAGGCUUAGAUACCCUGGUAGUCCACCCCGUAAACGUUGGGAACUAGUUGUGGGGACCAUUCCACGGUUUCCGUGACGCAGCUAACGCAUUAAGUUCCCCGCCUGGGGAGUACGGCCGCAAGGCUAAAACUCAAAGGAAUUGACGGGGACCCGCACAAGCGGCGGAGCAUGCGGAUUAAUUCGAUGCAACGCGAAGAACCUUACCAAGGCUUGACAUACACCAGAACACCGUAGAAAUACGGGACUCUUUGGACACUGGUGAACAGGUGGUGCAUGGUUGUCGUCAGCUCGUGUCGUGAGAUGUUGGGUUAAGUCCCGCAACGAGCGCAACCCUCGUUCUAUGUUGCCAGCACGUAAUGGUGGGAACUCAUGGGAUACUGCCGGGGUCAACUCGGAGGAAGGUGGGGAUGACGUCAAAUCAUCAUGCCCCUUAUGUCUUGGGCUUCACGCAUGCUACAAUGGCCGGUACAAAGGGCUGCAAUACCGUGAGGUGGAGCGAAUCCCAAAAAGCCGGUCCCAGUUCGGAUUGAGGUCUGCAACUCGACCUCAUGAAGUCGGAGUCGCUAGUAAUCGCAGAUCAGCAACGCUGCGGUGAAUACGUUCCCGGGUCUUGUACACACCGCCCGUCAAGUCAUGAAAGUCGGUAACACCUGAAGCCGGUGGCCCAACCCUUGUGGAGGGAGCCGUCGAAGGUGGGAUCGGUAAUUAGGACUAAGUCGUAACAAGGUAGCCGUACCGGAAGGUGCGGCUGGAUCACCUCCUUUCUAAGGA
rnacentral:rRNA from 1 species